GGGGAUGUACAGAUUCGACGAGAUUCGUUCAUUAACAACCGCGCACCGAGCAUGAUCGUUCUCUCGUAAAACAAUCGGUCAAACCAAAACAGUCAACACAUUCGUUGACACAGCAAAAGGCGCACUCGCUGCACUUUUUGCUCCUCGCGAAUACGCGUUUGCGUAAACGUCGAGGCAUUGACAGAGGAUGUAUUCGGUGAUUUUCUGUCGGUGGAACCAAAACCGGAUGUAGGUAUCUAAAGACGAUUGGCUUUAGCAUGCCGAACAUGUUCAAUCUCACCUUCUUUUCUCUUGUCGAUCGGAUCAAAAAGAAGGAAAACACAAAUGAUCGACUAUGUGCGUAGACGUUGUUUCUGGAUAGACUCGGACCCGGUUCAAAACCGGCAUCUCCACAC
rnacentral:tmRNA from 1 species